GCUGGGAGUUGUAGUUUUGCAACAGCUGGAGGCAUGCCGGUUGGGAAACACUGCUCUACAGCAUGUCACACGGUUGUACUCUACGCAGCAUCCCGGCAGAGCAGCAGUGUUAUUGUGACAACCGAUUAAGCGCAUAUUGUCAGGCACGCGUACGCAGCAUCUCCUAUCUAGACAUAAGUAUUGCCAGAGAAUCAGGAAGCAAUCAAAAUCCCCGACCGCACCGAGCGACAUUCCCAGGCUCCUUCAUAUCCACUUUCGAUAUGAUUCAAUUAGAGAAUUACUCCGCG